GUGGGGAAUAUUGCACAAUGGGGGAAACCCUGAUGCAGCGACGCCGCGUGAGUGAAGAAGUAUUUCGGUAUGUAAAGCUCUAUCAGCAGGGACGAAAAAAUGACGGUACCUGACUAAGAAGCCCCGGCUAACUACGUGCCAGCAGCCGCGGUAAUACGUAGGGGGCAAGCGUUAUCCGGAUUUACUGGGUGUAAAGGGAGCGUAGACGGUGAUGUAAGUCAGAUGUGAAAGCCCGGGGCUCAACCCCGGGACUGCAUUUGAAACUAUGUUGCUAGAGUGCAGGAGAGGUAAGUGGAAUUCCUAGUGUAGCGGUGAAAUGCGUAGAUAUUAGGAGGAACACCAGUGGCGAAGGCGGCUUACUGGACUGUAACUGACGUUGAGGCUCGAAAGCGUGGGGAGCAAACAGGAUUAGAAACCCUAGUAGUCC
rnacentral:rRNA from 1 species